rnacentral:rRNA from 1 species
UGCAAGUCGAGCGGUACAGGAGAAGCUUGCUUCUCGCUGACGAGCGGCGGACGGGUGAGUAAUACUUAGGAAUCUACCUAGGAGUGGGGGAUAGCUCGGGGAAACUCGAAUUAAUACCGCAUACGACCUACGGGAGAAAGGGGGCAACUUGUUGCUCUCGCUAUUAGAUGAGCCUAAGUCAGAUUAGCUAGAUGGAGGGGUAAAGGCCUACCAUGGCGACGAUCUGUAGCUGGUCUGAGAGGAUGAUCAGCCACACCGGGACUGAGACACGGCCCGGACUCCUACGGGAGGCAGCAGUGGGGAAUAUUGGACAAUGGGGGCAACCCUGAUCCAGCCAUGCCGCGUGUGUGAAGAAGGCCUUUUGGUUGUAAAGCACUUUAAGCAGUGAAGAAGACUCCAUGGUUAAUACUCAUGGACGAUGACAUUAGCUGCAGAAUAAGCACCGGCUAACUCUGUGCCAGCAGCCGCGGUAAUACAGAGGGUGCAAGCGUUAAUCAGAAUUACUGGGCGUAAAGCGAGCGUAUGUGGCUUGAUAAGUCAUAUGUGAAAGCCCCGGGCUUAACCUGGGAACGGUAUCUGAUACUGUUACGCUAGAGUAGGUGAGAGGAAUGUAGAAUUCUAGGUGUAGCGGUGAAAUGCGUAGAGAUCUGGAGGAAUACCGAUGGCGAAGGCAGCCUUCUGGCGUCAUACUGACACUGAGGUUCGAAAGCGUGGGUAGCAAACAGGAUUA